GGAGGAUGGCAUUGGCCUUUCUCUACAAGUAGGUUGGUGCCAGAAGGUGGAAUACUCAUUAAGUCUCAUUGAUGAGAAAAAUGCAAGCCCAGAGAGCAAUACGGAGGCUUAAAACAGGCUCUGCACGGGAUAGAUAGCACAAGGCAUUAGCGGCCAUUUCACGCUGGCACUUUGGUGGCCGAGCGGGGCAAGGGGAGAGCGGGUGCAGUCUGGGCGCGAGUCGGAGAGAACCCGAGGGCCACUGUGGGCCCCGGAGACACUCUGUAAUUGUCCUGCUCUGAAGUGCAGAUGGCCUAUGAAGAGGUCCAUUAACACUUGCAGGAAAGAGACGCUGAAAUGGGUUUUAAAUGCUACAAGAUGGAGAGCAAUCUUUUUCCACAUGCAAGGACAAAGUUAACGUGGAAUUCAGUCCUUAGGUUUCCCCUCACUCCAUCCA
rnacentral:lncRNA from 1 species